UACAGAGGUCCCAAGCGUUGUUCGGAAUCACUGGGCGUAAAGCGCACGUAGGCGGCUUCUUAAGUCAGGGGUGAAAUCCUGGAGCUCAACUCCAGAACUGCCUUUGAUACUGAGGAGCUUGAGUCGGGAGAGGUGAGUGGAACUGCGAGUGUAGAGGUGAAAUUCGUAGAUAUUCGCAAGAACACCAGUGGCGAAGGCGGCUCACUGGCCCGGUACUGACGCUGAGGUGACGCAAGCGGAUGGGCAAACAGGG
rnacentral:rRNA from 1 species